GCUGAGAUGGCUCAGUCAAUAUAGAGCAUGAGACACUUAAUCUCAGGGUUGUGGGUUCGAGGUCCACAUGAAGUAUUCCUGCA